CCAGGCCCAAGGAGGCGAGCGCGGACGCGGUUUGGUUGUGAAAGAGAAUCGGCUUUCGGCUCAGCACCCAGAUCCUACUCAGACAUCUGGGAAAGAUCGAUCAGGCUGCUAGAAAGGGUGAUGUGGAAAGAGUACAGCUGAUCCUUCCCUGUGGAGUAGGGGAAGUGGAAGAGAGAGUUAACGCGAAGUAGGGGGCGGAGCCAUGCCCAAGCUUAGGAGAGAACUGAUGUAUAUCCAUGGCAACAAAGAGCCAAUGAGAACGAACUUUCAAUCUACCUAGUGACUGCUAACGUCACUCAGCAACCACUGGUCCACUCGAUGCCCCUGCACGCGCCCUCUUAGAACGCUUGGGCGCCAGGGCUCUGUGCGAAUGC